rnacentral:piRNA from 1 species
UGCUGUCCUUACCUAUGGUUGGUUCUUCU